UAGGGAAUCUUCCGCAAUGGGCGGAAGCCUGACGGAGCAACGCCGCGUGAGUGAUGAAGGUCUUCGGAUCGUAAAACUCUGUUAUUAGGGAAGAACAUAUGUGUAAGUAACUGUGCACAUCUUGACGGUACCUAAUCAGAAAGCCACGGCUAACUACGUGCCAGCAGCCGCGGUAAUACGUAGGUGGCAAGCGUUAUCCGGAAUUAUUGGGCGUAAAGCGCGCGUAGGCGGUUUUUUAAGUCUGAUGUGAAAGCCCACGGCUCAACCGUGGAGGGUCAUUGGAAACUGGAAAACUUGAGUGCAGAAGAGGAAAGUGGAAUUCCAUGUGUAGCGGUGAAAUGCGCAGAGAUAUGGAGGAACACCAGUGGCGAAGGCGACUUUCUGGUCUGUAACUGACGCUGAUGUGCGAAAGCGUGGGGAUCAAACAGGAUUAGAUACCCUGGUAGUCCACGCCGUAAACGAUGAGUGCUAAGUGUUAGGGGGUUUCCGCCCCUUAGUGCUGCAGCUAACGCAUUAAGCACUCCGCCUGGGGAGUACGACCGCAAGGUUG
rnacentral:rRNA from 1 species